rfam:Loxodonta africana unplaced genomic scaffold scaffold_3, whole genome shotgun sequence.
GCCUUGGUGGCUCAGGGGUAGAAUUCUUGCCUUGCGUGCAGGAGACCUGGGUUCGAUUCCCAGCCAAUGCA